UGUGGUGGCAUUUUUUCUCAAGCCGCAACGUAACAUUAUUUAAUUCGCGGCCUCGAGGAAUACCGGGAAUACCAGGUUCUCGGUGGCAACGCCGGUCAUUGUGAAUUUAAACAGAAUUUCCGCGUACGUAACAGUCAGUACCGAUCUGAACAUUAUGUUCCGGCAACGGUUCCAGGUCUUGUCCUGUCAGUGUAAAGUUCUGUGGCUGCAGUUUGCUCAUGUAUCAAAAAUGGCAAGCCGGAUUAACAAACUAUUCAAAACACUGCAGAUUGGUGUUUCAAAACUUAUCGGGAAAGGCUCCGAGGAAACCAAUGAGGUGCAAAACGCGGCAUACAAUACAUUGGCUCAACUGGCUAUCGUUUGUCCGACUGUGAAUACGAUGUCCAACUCGUUUCUUCCUAUUUGGUCAUCUGUCACAGGAACCGGUCUAAUUGCAUACGCCCGAUAAGAGGCGCCUUUGGUAGGGCUCAGGCGAUUUUCGACUGGAGGAAGCAACCAAAAAUUCCUGGCGAUACCGUACUGACUAAGGGAGAAAAGGACACCGUCAUGAUGACAGAGGACAAUUCGUCCCGCAUUCCAAUCAAAAGUGUUGUAAAGAUUCUGUUCCGUCGAGGUAUUUGUGGAGAAAGUGUUCAGUUGAAGGAAAGGAUGACAACCUAUUUGUUUGGAGUUUCCAAGAAAGAACAUCCAAACUAUGGGUCAACUCUUUUGACAACUGUAAACAACCGACAGAGAAGAAUCAGUCCAAAAAUCUGUUCUCAACUACUCAUGAACCAUAAUGGAUUGUGCUUCCGUGUUUCAAGGGUACGGUUGAAUGUGUUACUAUGAAGUGAGGUUUACUUAUAGUUUCUAUAUUAUCAGAAAAUUUUUGGAUUACCAUCGACUCUGCCUGCUGGUGUCAACACUCAUCCCGAAGAGGAUAAAAAAUGCUCAAAUUGGCAGCCUUCUUGAAGUUAAUUGCCGAAAGCGGUAUUGAGGAUGUUAUUUGGACAGACAACAACCUUAUUAGAAGGGUGGAUUACUGGUAGAAAAGAAAUUACCGAGCUGACCUGUUUUCGAUUUGGUCAGUAUCCCUAUUGGCUAGAGAAAACAAAGAAUUUAUACGUUGGGAUCUUCGCUGAAGGAAAUCUCCGAACCGAUCAGAGCACUGUUUGUGAAUGUAUACUUAUACGAUGUGCUUUUGGUCUUGAAAUGUGACGAGCAGGAGCUGGAGGCGCAAAUCAAGGAGCUGCUGGCUCUGACAAUAAAUCUGGAAAAUCGGGAUCGUUCCAUUAUAGCGGCUCUCAAUAUCAUCAAACAAUGACAAUGGUAAUCGAUGCUUCAAUCGGUCUGUAUCAAAAAUGUUAGUUUCUACCACAAAACUGCCGCACAGCGCGGUGAAGGCACCGAGGAAAUGAAAACUGAUCAAGGUGAUGUAAACACGAAAGCUCCUAUGUUGAAAGUCCAUAGCACUUCUGCAGAGUGGUCAUACCAAAGCUACAAUCCGAGAGGAUGUUACAUUGUUUAGGCUAUC